GGGUCUCCAAGUCGCAGCAACCUCCACGUGGUGAGACCUGGGAAAUCAUUAUUAUUUGCUAUAUUAUUCAUAAUCGUAUCACAGAUACGGUUAUAAAUUUUAUAGCCAAUAAUAUGAGCUGAUUGGCUGCGCACGCGUUUAUUUUUUUACGUACUUGAAAUUUAUAUAAGUUACGAGUAACAUCUUCGUGCUGAUUUUUAAAAAUCAUAAGAUAUUGUAUAUUAGUUGUUGAAUGGUUAUAUAUUUUAUCGAUAUGAUUUUGAACAAUGGUUUCUUUCUAACAUUUUCUCUGUAAUUUAUUUGCAAUAUAUUAACAAAUAUCUAUUAGAAAUGUUUUUCUUUUUUUUUAGAAUUUUAUUAUUUCUUGCUUGCUUAUUUCUUACUUAUUUCUUGUUUUAAUAAGUUAUACAGAUUUCUGUGGAUAUUAACAUGAUUAGUAAACCUUAAAGUAAUUUAUAAAAAUCGUUCUUUCAAAUAUGGCAAUUUUUGAUUUAGAAUUUAUUUAAUUUUAUUGAUUUUCUUUUUUUGUUCUUUUAUGAAGUGUUCCGACUUCUUUAACUCUUUAUAUAUAGCGAGAAAACUCGAUUAAAUCUUUUUUUACGUUUAUGUUAAACCGCUUGUUUCCAUGAAUUUUUCAUGAAUUUUGUAUUACUGUGUUAAUUUGAAUGCUUUCACAUAUUCAUUUGCUUCUAUUUUAAAUUUUAUCAGCGCAGAAUUUUCUCUUAGCUGCAUAUUUGGCAAUACUGAAAUUCCGCGCAACAGCAAUCCUUGUUCUAUUUUAGUUUUUGUUUGGUCUUGCUUAAAUUUGACUGUAAUAUAGAAUUCUCUUGUGUAAUUAUUUGAAUAUAUUCGCUGCAAUACAGUAGGUAACACUCUCAAUAUCAGGUAUGUUUCUUCUGUUAGUUUUUUGAUAUUUAUUCUAAGAAACUUAAAAACUCACUUAUUUUUCGUUUAUUUUAUAUUAUUUUAGAUUAGUUACACUCACUUUCAUCGUUCUUUUCCUCUUUCUUUUCUUUUCUUCUUCUUUUUUUUUCUAAUUACUGUAGUUUAGAUUAAAUAUUGAUUACUCAUAUCCACACUAAAUUUUUUUCUUUUUUUCCUUAUACGAUCGAAAAUAAAUAAAAGAAUUUCAUAUUAUGAAUUAAAAACGUGAACAGACUAUCGGCCGAGUUGAUCUUACAAGAAUAUCAUGGUGCCAUCUGUUAAAUAUAAUAUGUGCAUCAUCUUUGGUGUGAUAUUUUAUUAUGCUGAGUCGGUAUUAUUGAAAAUGAUGUGAGGAUGGUAACAGAAUUUUGAAGUUCUUCGAUAGGAUACGUCAAUAGAAAAUACGCGGUGCUCAGUAUGAAAUUCAUUUAUACUUACAAGUGUGUGUUAAUACAAUUUGUUAUACAGUGCAUAUCAGUUUAAAGUAUUCUAUGUUACUUUUGUGUUUAUUAGAUUUUGAGAAAGUAGGUACGUUAAAUUCAAUGAUUUUCUAUUUAAAGACUCUUGGUUUCGGUGAAUCAAUAAUUAUAUUAUCCAAUAUAACAUUGAAAUAUAAUAAAUUAUAGUUCAUUAUUAAUUCUUUUUAUAUUUAUAAUUCUUGUUUAUCUAAUGUUUAAAUACAGGGAUUAAGGAAUUACGUACAUUAUUCAGUAAAACGUUCUAUUUACUGGUAGGCUGAAAUUCGUCAUUGCGGAUAGCAAAGAUUUAAACGUGAGUUAAUCUGUAUUUAAAUUAUUAAUCUUAAUUUUGUUUAAUUUCAGUUGCAUAAAAAGAAUUCGUAGCAAUGUUUGAAUGGGCAUAUGAUGGUGUUAAUGCCUCUAUACCACGUAAUGUAGGACCAGAAUGUGCAUAUUAUUUAAGUUUAAAACAAAGAAUUAUUGAAACAUUAUUUAUAUCAAUAUUCAUAAUAAGUUUUCUAGUAUGGGGUUACAAAAGAAUCAAAUUACCAUCUAAAGUAUCAUAUGUAAAUCAAGAUUGUGUUGGUAGAAGGAUUUUAUUAAUCAUUAUGUCAUUAGUGUUAGGAAUGGAAAUUGGAUUUAAGUUUACUAGUAGAACAGUUAUAUAUAUAUUGAAUCCUUGUCAUAUAACUUCAGCAGCACAGUUAUAUUUAUUGGCAGCAAAUCCUAGUCCUACGGUCACAACUAUCUUUAGGAUACAUUUAAACUUCUUAAAUGGACCACUUUUAGCAUAUUUAUUUCCAGAAACAGAAUCUCGCAGAAUAUUUGCAGAUAAAGCAUUAUACUACAUCCAACAUGGUUUGAUGGUAGUGAUACCAUAUUAUUUGUUGAGAAUUGGAGGUGUUUAUAAUAUCGAACCUCUGUCAGAUAUGAGUUGGUGUAUAUUUAGUUAUGGAAUAAAUUUAGCUUAUCAUUUUUGGAUUAUCCAACCUAUUGCAUUGCCCACACAAGUAAAUCUUAGUCAUAUGUUAUGUGCUGCUAUUUUAGAUCCAUUUGAAGGACAAAAUUAUCGAAUGUGGACAUUUAUUCAUCAAGGAUUAUUAUGUCCAUUGUUAUGAUCCAGAUAUGGAUAUUAACCAGUCAUCGGAAGAGAAAUUGAAUCACGAAGAUUCUUUCGUCAUCGUGGAUAACCGAAUUCGAACGACGGCUCGCACGCUUCAUUGUUUUCGACAUCGGUCCAGACCACUUUGUGGCCUAUGUUUAAUUAACUUGGACGAUGGUAGAUGCUCGAGACGGAUUCAGUUCAAAGAGAGGCGUACAAAUCAUGCUAUUUGUAAUGAUUAUAUUCGUCAAUUUGUUCGUUUCAAGUUGUGGCUAAAGGAUGAGGCUUAUGGAGAGAAUUUUUUAAGAGGAUUCAAGAAUCGAUUCCAAGGAGUAGUUGAUAAAAAUAAGUUAUACCUCGAGAGAUGAUUAAUCUUCUAGAGUGUGGCAAAGUUUAAGAGAAAAAUUUUAAGUAUUUAAGGGGAAAAUACAAUCGAUAUCUCGUGAUGACACACAUUCGAAAGAUUGAAAGCCGUUAAUUUAAAUUUAUUAUUAUUACAAUUGUUAUUGAAAAAUAAAUGAAUAAAUUCAACAUUGGGAUCAAUAUUUAGAUAUAUGAAAAGUGAAAUGAGAAAUAUUUUCACAAUUUCAUCGUAUACAAUGAAAAGAGCGAUAAUAAAUUGUUAUGUUAAAUGAAUAACGACAUCAUUAUUUAUGAUUUCUUUCUUUCUUUUUUUUUUUUUUUAAUCAUAAGAUAGACAUGGCUUUAACGAUUGGAAAAUUGAAUCGAAGGGAUAAUGAUGGAAUGAUGAUGAAUUUGAAUUUCAUUAAUUUCGUGAAUUCGAUUUUGAUUUGGCUUUGGGAUCGUCGAAUUCCAUGGAGAGUAUUAAAUAGUCGAGAGGAUUUGAUGAAUGUUAAUGGUGCGAAUAUAUAUUGAUGCCGAUCAAAUGUCGGUUUAAUGCUAAAUGAGCAAUAACCUUAUAAUUAUGUAUAUAAAAUUCCUGAUCAUGAAUAAUAAUUCUUAAUAAGUUGAUUGUUACGUAAGAUUCACACGUUUUUUUUUUACUAAAAAUCGUAAUGGAAUUUUUAUUAUUAUAAAUUAAACGAAGAUAAAGGAGAGAUAAAAAAAUAUAUUUAUUAUACGUGACUAUUAUGAAUCGCUUAGGCUAAUAUGGAAAGAAAAAAUUGGAACAAGUGUUGUCAAUUAUUGAAUAAAAAUUGUUCAAGAUUAUUGAAAUAUUUCAUUGAACAUUUCUUUGAAAAUUUCUGUUACUCGAUAAUUGGAAUAUUAAGUUGAGGAAAUAUCUGAUAAUUAAUGGAGAUUAUCAUGAAGUUAUCAGGAGGAAGAAUAAAUGAUUGAAUCAUCUAUAUAUGAUUUCUUUAGAUAUUCAACAAAAUCCAAAAUCCAAAGUAUCAGUAGUUUGAUCAAAAACAUUGUUAACAUUCAUUAAUAACAAAAGUAUAUAUAUAUAUAAAUAAUAAAAACGAAAUUUUUCGCAAAGAAAAAUAUUACUUCGGAUUAUUCGGAAAUCUCCAAUUAACCAAUGUUAUUUUUUGAUAUAUAUAUAUAUAUACACAUAAAAUAUUGCUAUAUUACAUAGCAAUUAUCCUCUUUACUAUUGAAUUACUAAAAAUACAGCAAAAAUUCGACUUAACAGACUUUCAACGCGCCGAUAAAAAUCCGAUUUAUUCGGAUUACCGAUCGAAAACCGAUUUCGCCGAAUAGCCUAUUUACCGCGGUAGGUAAAGCAGUUGCCGAACGUAUCGCGACAAUCGCGUUAAACGAAACCACCAACUUUUGUCACCCUUUAACCAUUUUACUUCCCGCGGCGGGAGCUUAAACAUUCGGUCGACCAACACGAUAUCCCGUUGAAAAGAACAAGCUCGACAAGUUUCACGGUGGCGAGAAAACGGAGAAAACGAGUCUCUCUCUCUCUCUCUCCCUCUCUUUCGCUUUCUGUUUUUCCGCAACGUCAGCGAAACGGCGCGACGAUGCCUCGCGCCGGAUUACACGAGCAUGGAGAACGGUUCACGAAGUUGGUCACGUUAUCAGCACGAUUUGUUUCGCGGAAAAUAAUCCAUGCGGCGGGGAGAAAAAGCCUUAAGCUGUCGCGUGGGUGGCCCCGUUCGAGCGCAAACAAACCUUCUCCAGCUCUUUCAGGAAUUACGAGCGCUCCGUGACAAUUCCCACGCGUUUAACAGGCUAAAACGGCACGUUCCCCCUCCCUCGUUUCCAAGCCCCCCGGUUUUAAAGCCCACCGCCGCCAUUGUUCCGUGAAGUAGGCGGCCAGAAUGGAUCCUCUCGCGGCGAGCUUUCAGGAUAAUAGCGUCGAACGUCUCGUCCAUGGAGAAAAUUGCAUGACGUAAGUGUCGGCGGACCUCGUGUCUUCGAUCUCGCUCCUCACGGCGAAUCGAUAUCGUCUUUGGAGGGGAGAAAUCGGCGAAGAAUGGGAACGCGUUGUUUGGGAGAAGAGCCGAUGGACGAGGAGUCCGCGGGAUGUAAGAGAUAAUGGAGUAAAAUAUAGAAAAAUGUUGGAUAUUUUGAUCGUUGACGAUGACUUUUCGAUUGCCAUGAUUUUUCAAUGUAGAUGACACAAAAUAAAUUUUGCGUCGAUAUGAUUAUUG